rnacentral:rRNA from 1 species
GACGAACGCUGGCGGCGUGCUUAACACAUGCAAGUCGAACGGAAAGGCCCUGCUUUUGUGGGGUGCUCGAGUGGCGAACGGGUGAGUAACACGUGAGUAACCUGCCCUUGACUUUGGGAUAACUUCAGGAAACUGGGGCUAAUACCGGAUACGAGCUCCUGCUGCAUGGUGGGGGUUGGAAAGUUUCGGCGGUUGGGGAUGGACUCGCGGCUUAUCAGCCUGUUGGUGGGGUAGUGGCUUACCAAGGCUUUGACGGGUAGCCGGCCUGAGAGGGUGACCGGCCACAUUGGGACUGAGAUACGGCCCGGACUCCUACGGGAGGCAGCAGUGGGGAAUGUUGCACAAUGGGCGGAAGCCUGAUGCAGCAACGCCGCGUGCGGGAUGACGGCCUUCGGGUUGUAAACCGCUUUCGCCUGUGACGAAGCGUGAGUGACGGUAAUGGGUAAAGAAGCACCGGCUAACUACGUG